UCCUACGGGAGGCAGCAGUAGGGAAUCUUCGGCAAUGGACGAAAGUCUGACCGAGCAACGCCGCGUGAGUGAAGAAGGUUUUCGGAUCGUAAAACUCUGUUGUUAGGGAAGAACAAGUGCUAGUUGAAUAAGCUGGCACCUUGACGGUACCUAACCAGAAAGCCACGGCUAACUACGUGCCAGCAGCCGCGGUAAUACGUAGGUGGCAAGCGUUAUCCGGAAUUAUUGGGCGUAAAGCGCGCGUAGGUGGUUUCUUAAGUCUGAUGUGAAAGCCCACGGCUCAACCGUGGAGGGUCAUUGGAAACUGGGAGACUUGAGUGCAGAAGAGGAAAGUGGAAUUCCAUGUGUAGCGGUGAAAUGCGUAGAGAUAUGGAGGAACACCAGUGGCGAAGGCGACUUUCUGGUCUGUAACUGACACUGAGGCGCGAAAGCGUGGGGAGCAAACAGGAUUAGAUACCCUGGUAGUCCACGCCGUAAACGAUGUCUACUUGGAGGUUGUGGCCUUGAGCCGUGGCUUUCGGAGCUAACGCGUUAAGUAGACCGCCUGGGGAGUACGGUCGCAAGAUUAAAACUCAAAUGAAUUGACGGA
rnacentral:rRNA from 1 species